UACGUAGGGAGCGAGCGUUGUCCGGAUUCAUUGGGCGUAAAGAGCUCGUAGGCGGCUUGGCAAGUCGGGUGUGAAAACUCCAGCUCAACCUGGAGACGCCACCCGAUACUGCCAUGGCUAGAGUCCGGUAGGGGACCACGGAAUUCCUGGUGUAGCGGUGAAAUGCGCAGAUAUCAGGAGGAACACCGGUGGCGAAGGCGGCGACCUGGGCCGAAUAUUGACGCUGAGGUGCGAAAGCGUGGGGAGCAAACAGG
rnacentral:rRNA from 1 species